UGAAGCGAAUUUCCGAGAAUUGCCGCUAUUGUUAUUUUGCCUCUAGGAUAGACGCGAAAGACGCCGUAACCUUAAAAUGUAGUCGAGUUUAUUAUUUGCGCGCGUUUUCUGUUUUAAUUAUUAAUUAAUGUUAUAAUUAUUCAAUCGUAUUUAUUUAUAAAAGUGCCAAAGACAAUGAAGUGUGGUGUUAGUGUUGUGGAUUAAUUUACAGGCCCCGAUCUUCGAAUAUAUUGCCUCAGGAUACCAAAUUAAUCUGAAAGCUAUUAGCGCUAUGUGAUUGGUGUUAUUAGUAUUAUUUCACCAAAGCGGUGAGGAAUGAAGAAUUAGCGAGAUGUUCCUACAAACAAUUUUUUUAGAGGACGUAGUAGGCACUAAUUAUUUACAAACAAAAAAAGAAGCAAUUAGUUACUAUAUAUAAUAAAAAGGCUAAUGAAGGCGUGAAGAGAGUUCUCGAAGACAUCUUGAAGGGCAUUUUGAAGCAAUUUCUUUAGUACUCCAGAUGAAAAUAAAUUUAAUCUUAUAACAAUAAUGUACUUUCAGUUUUAAUACAUAUUCAUAUUUGAAUAGUUAUCAAGGAAACCAUUAAAAUGCAGUGCAUGUGUUUUGAUUCAUUGGAUGGAUACAAUGAUACAAACAAACACUCGAGAUGAAUCGAUUAACUGUUUUAAGUAGGAAAGCACUAACAAAGGAAAUGUAUUUUUUAAAAACACAUGAAAAUUAAUAUGUAACUGCUAUUGAUUCAAAAGCAAAUGGACUUUUGGUGCACAGUGGAUAACAAUAUCAUUCUUAUUACAACUAGCAACAACACUUUCUAUUGAUCUAUAUAUCGGCACAUUUCUACACUUCUGGGAAAAAUCUGGAGAAGCUAUCAAUGCAUAUAUUGAACAACUUUUAAAUGCAAAUGGAAAUAAGCACGAUUGGAUUGUUUUACUACGAGCAGUAUUCUCCUCUUCGUUUAUAGAGAUGAAUUGAAAAAUCAGUUGACGUUUGUACAUGUUAAUAAAAAUAAUAACAUAUUUCUGAUGA